GACGAACGCUGGCGGCGUGCUUAACACAUGCAAGUCGAACGGAGCGAAUGAAAGCUUGCUUUUAUAAGCUUAGUGGCAAACGGGUGAGUAACACGUAGGCAACCUGCCGACAGGAUGGGGACAACAUUCCGAAAGGAAUGCUAAUACCGAAUGAAGCGCAGGAGAGGCAUCUCUCCUGCGUGAAAGAUGGCCUCUAUAUAUAAGCUAUCACCUGUCGAUGGGCCUGCGUCUGAUUAGCUGGUAGGUGAGGUAACGGCUCACCUAGGCGACGAUCAGUAGCCGGUCUGAGAGGAUGAACGGCCACAUUGGGACUGAGACACGGCCCAGACUCCUACGGGAGGCAGCAGUGGGGAAUCUUCCGCAAUGGGCGCAAGCCUGACGGAGCAACGCCGCGUGAGUGAAGAAGGUCUUCGGAUCGUAAAGCUCUGUUGAUGGGGACGAACGUGCCUAAUGCGAAUAGUAU
rnacentral:rRNA from 1 species